AAUGAACGCUGGCGGCAGGCCUAACACAUGCAAGUCGAACGAGAGGCGGACGGGUGAGUAUUGGCUGGAAAACUGCCUGACGGAGAGGGAUGAUAACUGGAAACGGUAGCUAAUAACGCAGAGCACCGGAUGGGUCGAGAUGGGAUUAGCUAGGAGGUGGGGUAGCGGCUAACCGACACGAGGAUCCCUAGCUGGUCUGUGAGGAUAGGCAGCCACACUGAACAUGAUCCACGGGCCUGACUCCAACGGGAGGCAGCGGUGAGGAGUAUUGCACGAUGUACUCAAGCCUAAUGCAGCCAUGCCGCGUGUAUGAAGAAGGCCUUCGGGUUGUAAAGUACUUUCAACGGGAAGGCGUUACCCGCAGAAGAAGCACCGGCUAACUCCGUGCCAGCAGCCGCGGUAAUUC
rnacentral:rRNA from 1 species